UGGGGAAUAUUGGGCAAUGGGCGAAAGCCUUACCCAGCAACGCCGCGUGAAGGAUGAAGGUUUUCGGAUUGUAAACUUCUGUCCUCAGGGACGAACACAAUGACGGUACCUGAGGAGGAAGCCCCGGCUAACUACGUGCCAGCAGCCGCGGUAAUACGUAGGGGGCUAGCGUUAUCCGGAUUUACUGGGCGUAAAGGGUGCGUAGGUGGUUUCUUAAGUCAGGAGUGAAAGGCUACGGCUCAACCGUAGUAAGCUCUUGAAACUGGGAAACUUGAGUGCAGGAGAGGAAAGUGGAAUUCCUAGUGUAGCGGUGAAAUGCGUAGAUAUUAGGAGGAACACCAGUAGCGAAGGCGGCUUUCUGGACUGUAACUGACACUGAGGCACGAAAGCGUGGGGAGCAAACA
rnacentral:rRNA from 1 species